rnacentral:miRNA from 1 species
AUAUUUAAAAGUAUAUAUAUAUGUGUGUGUGUGUGUGUGUGUGUGUAUAUAUAUAUAUACACAUAUAUAACUAUACAUGUAU